GAAGAGGGUUUGGUGGGGGGUGGGGGUUGGGGAGGGACCAUAAACUUUUAACAUGCCUGGACAAAUUUGCUUUUCUCAUGCCACUUGUUUGUAUGGAGACAAAAAUCUUUUAAAUAGCCUUUCAGUCUUCUCUGGGGAUCCUAAUAGCAAGGGAAAAGGCCGAAUCAAAUCCUUUCCUUGAGAUUGAGGCAAGAUAUUUGAAUUCUUAUUCUUUUGCAUAGUUGCUUGAAGGCUUCAUGGAUUUAGUGAGUGCAGGGCUUGGUUCUACUUGAUUGUGGAAUAGAGUUCAUCAUACUAUGAGUUUAUAAGAUGAUAAUUAAAAGCUAGGAAAUUGCAUCAUAAGUAUAUAUUAGAUUAGCAUGUGAAACUGAUUUGGAAAUGUCCCUUUAUCUCAACUUUGCACUAGUGAAACUACAACACUUGUGCAUGUUUGGUAUGAUAUAAUUGAACAAUGAAUACGUUACAUUUAAUUACUUUACACCAAACAUGCACUUAGGGUUAGAUUGAUCAUUUGAACAUGUCUAACACUGUUCUGAUAUUUGUUGAGCAGGCAAAGCAGUGAAGGAAUCAAGAAUUCAAAGGUUUUGAUGUAAGCAUUAGAUGACAGAAGAGUUAGAAUGAAGAUUCUAGUUCGGCCGGAAUGAUUGGUGAUGGCUUUUGAUUGAAAAUUUUGGCAAUGGCUUUCAAUUAACAAUCACUGGUGAUGGCUUCUA
rnacentral:misc_RNA from 1 species